AGAGAUCUACGACCUGACCAAGGCCCCUCCCAACCUCUUCAACAUCAUGCUCAAGGCCUACGAGAGGGGGUCCCUCAUGGGCUGCUCGCUGGAGCCCGACCCCAACGAAGUGGAGGCCCGCUGCGCCAACGGCCUCGUGCGCGGCCACGCCUACUCCCUCACCCGCAUCCAGACCUCUUAUAAUUCCCUCUCACUC
rnacentral:misc_RNA from 1 species